GUGUCAGCAGCCGCGGUAAUACAGAGACGUCGAGCGUUGUUCGGAUUCAUUGGGCGUAAAGGGUGCGUAGGCGGUGAGGUAAGUUGGAUGUGAAAUCUCAGGGCCUAACCCUGAAAGUGCAUCCAAAACUGCCUUGCUUGAGGACUGGAGGGGAGACUGGAAUUCUCGGUGUAGCGGUGAAAUGCGUAGAUAUCGAGAGGAACACCAGUGGCGAAGGCGGGUCUCUAGACAGUUCCUGACGCUGAGGCACGAAAGCCAGGGGAGCAAACGGGAUUAGAAACCCCCGUAGUCC
rnacentral:rRNA from 1 species